CAGGAUAACUUCAGGAAGUGGGUAUUAAUUCUCAUUGUAUAAAUGAAGACAUUAAGCACCAGAGUUUAAGUAGCUUGAUCCACUGAAAGAGAUUCAACUGUGUGGCACCUAUGCUGAGGAGAGUUGCUUUCUGCCAUUGUUGUUGUCCAGCAGUUGCCGAACAGCUCUGACCUGAGCAAAGCAGUGAAAAGCGGUGCUGUUGAGUGGGUUGCCACUGCACCUUUUUCAACUACUCUAGUCUUGCGGAGGAAACCCCUCUUCUAAAGUUUUUCUUCAUUGAAUACUCUCCCUCAGCUCUAGGGUACCAUAUAGAGUUUUCUUGUAUUUUAGAAUUAUUCUUUCAUCAAAGUUUACCAGUCUUUUGUAUUGCAUUUCUCCUGUCUAAA